rnacentral:tRNA from 1 species
GGGCCUAUAGUUUAAUGGAUAGAACAGUAGCCUUCGGAGCUUCUGAUCGGGGUUCGAAUCCUCGUAGGCCCG